rnacentral:lncRNA from 9 species
AUGCUGGAUGAGGAGGACACUGACAAAGACGGGAUGAGUUUGGAGGUCGACACUCCAGUGACGAACCAUCGGGGUGACGACGACGAUGACGAAGAAGAUCUCCCCGAGAUAGUGCUGGAUGACGUGCCUGCGGUGAGGGUGGCGGGACGGCCUCCAUUCGCUCCGCGGGUGGCCUUCAUGGUGAACAAAACACAUGACCCCGAGUACCCGAGGCGGAAGGUGUCCGGCAUCAGUGCUCAGAAAGUUGUUCCACCUUCCACCAAGAUGCUGGAUGAGGAGGACACUGACAAAGACGGGAUGAGUUUGGAGGUCGACACUCCAGUGACGAACCAUCGGGGUGACGACGACGAUGACGAAGAAGAUCUCCCCGAGAUAGUGCUGGAUGACGUGCCUGCGGUGAGGGUGGCGGGACGGCCUCCAUUCGCUCCGCGGGUAAGUUGGGUUUUUAGUCUGAGCUCGCAGUGUUGCUCUAUUUCCCCUCCGUGGACAUUAAGUUAUGACAGCCUGAGCCUGCACGUUCCAGACCAUGUGGACGGUUCCGAGGGUUGGGACUCCAUGUCAGGCGCGUCUGUUGCCAACUCCCGAUGCCUGCUUCCGCAGGGCAAUGCGAUAACAACACCUGUCCCAGCCUGCAGAGGACAGAGCUCCUUCUCCAGAAGCAUCUUUUCCUCGAGGGAAAGAGUUCUGUCAUCUCCAACUGACAUGGCCUUGGACAUCCCGUCGUCUAGGACAAGUUCUUGCCUUUGUCCCCGAGGAGGGUUUGCUCUGCCUUUGCUGGGUUCUCUGGACUCCACCGCUGUUGUGCAUCGGGGUUUCUGCUGUCACCAAGUGAAGGAAAGACCUGUGCAAAUAGGUGGCCUUGUGGUCUGAUCCUCAUGGCACUUUCUCCUCUUGUCAUUGCAGGUGGCCUUCAUGGUGAACAAAACACGUAUGUAUGCUGGAAGCACUCAUCUGGGGGAGGGGCCCCUUAGAAGGUGAGGCAGGUGGCGCAGUCUUGCUGGGUUUAUUUAUUUGUUUUUAAUUGUUGUUUCCCCAGGGCAGGUUUUGUUUUUUUCCCCUUUCUUCCGGCCGUAGGGCAUGGUGACCCGGUUACACAUACAUGCACACGUUCUAUUUUCGCACAUUAUCAUGCUCCAUCAUAAGUGACUGGACAUAGCUCCCCAGGGCUACACAGCAGGCUCUCACUGCCCAUCCAUUCCAAAGGCAAGAGUUUGUAUCUAUUAACCCCAAGCUCCCCAGCCGCCCCAGUCCCUCCCCCUCCCCCUCCCCUCUCCCCCUUGGCAACCACAAGUCUCUUCUCCAAGUCCAUGAUUUUCUUUUCUGUGGAAAGGUUCAUCUGUGCCUCAUGUUAGACGCCAGAUACAUUCUUGCUGGUUUUGGUGUGGAGGGCCGGAGUGUUUGCAGUUUUGUCCUUGGAGUUAGGGUAGCAGGUUUGCUGAUGGAAAGUGACUUACAGGUAAAGUCACGGGGCCAGGUACUGUAGUCCCAGGAACAAGCCGUGUUACCAUUAGUCGAUGGAGGUUUGUGUGCAAGGGACUAGGGGGGUGUGUAUGGGAAACGGCUGGUAGGAUUCUGAGUGUGUCAAAAUCCUGAGCCUUCCUCUGACCCUCCUCCCAGAUGACCCCGAGUACCCGAGGCGGAAGGUGUCCGGCAUCAGUGCUCAGAAAGUUGUUCCACCUUCCACCAAGGUAAGGGCUUUUCACUUCUCUGAGGAAAAAGAAAAAGCAAAAAAAAAAAAAAAAAAUAUAUAUAUAUAUAUAUAUAUGGCUUCAUUCCCUAGCUUUUCAAUCAAAUUCAACUCUGAAAGUCCAAAUCCGUGGAUACUUAGGGUUUUCCUGGGUUGGGUGACUGUUGACUGAUUGUCUGUCCCAGUGAAUGACUGAUUUAAAAAAGGACCUUUAAAAGCGGACAGCAGUAGUUUUGUAUGUGUAAGUGUGGUCGGGAGCAUGGUUAGUAGCAGAGACUCGCCCUCCUUGAAGGAGACUUUGGCAGCUGUGGGUCAGAGUGCACGUAAGAGUUUUUCCAGGAAAAUUCGAAGGCUUUCUCCAAGAUGACCUCUGUGUUUUUCCUUUGGGACCUGGGACUAAAGGAAUUUUACAUUUGGGUUUUCUGUGGACAGACAGACAAUGAAAAACCUUUGAGUCUGUAGAGCGCGGGAGGCUUAGAUGCUGUCACUAAGAAUGUGCUUUUCUCUAGAUGCUGGAUGAGGAGGACACUGACAAAGACGGGAUGAGUUUGGAGGUCGACACUCCAGUGACGAACCAUCGGGGUGACGACGACGAUGACGAAGAAGGUGGGUCUUCCUUGCUGGCAUUGGUUGGGGAGGCACCAGAUCCGGGGUUCCUUUUGGGAAAGAGGGUUGCUCCCAGCUCAUUCCCAGCCAUAGUGAUGCCCAAGGUGUACACGCCCUGGACACAAGUCUGCCCUGUAGAUGGUGCUUUGUGGCAAGAUAGGAGGCCCGGGAAGCGAGGUCCACACGUGAGCACGUGUGGUGUGAGCGUGUGGUUCCCCAGAACCUCUUGCCUGUUUCCGCCGCAGAGAGACGCGUCAGCUUCGUGGAGGACAAAGGCCACCCCCUCUGCAGAGCUUCUCUGCGUUCAUGCAUUCUCCCUUGACCACCGCUGCUCCCAAGUUGGCUCAAUGUCCCCGUUGCUCAGGUGGAGAGGGUGCCGAGCCAGGUGGCCCAAGCCCUUGACCUCCUACGUGGAAAAGCCAAAGGGGGACCCAGGCCGGGUUCCCCAUGGGGUUGCUCUGGACCCCUGACCUGUGCCUCUCCCUCAGCAGGGAGUCCUCAGUCAUGGAGCCCUGAGGGGCGAGGGCCCCUGUCCCCCGUCCAUGGUUGGGUGUAGCAGGGACUCCAGAGGUCCUGUAACACCUGCCCAUCUCUAGAAGGUGGGCGGUCGGCGCUGGUGUCUUUGCUUCAACUUGGCCAAAAGAGAUCGGGCUCGGGGGUGUGUUUUCUCGUGUUGGAUGGUGUCACGUCAAGGCUUCCAACUGACCACCCUAGGUGGCACACACCCGGGGGCUGUUGCACAUAAGAGCUCAGCGUGAAACCCCAUCGUCAGCCUGGUGUCCAGCACCAGGGUACAGAAGCGUCUGCAGCGCUGGGCGAGGAGGAGUCAGUGCUGAGUCUUUGCGUCUCUCCGUGACGAACUGUCCCAACUCGUUGUAAGGCUCCUAUGAGUGUGGGUAGCCUUUCACUCAGGGGACAUGCACGCCUCAUGUGGCACAGGGAGACGGGGGAGAACAAGCAGGAUGUGACUGAACGUGGCUGUUUUUGAGGGUAGGGUUUCCGUAGCGUCACGUCGUCUGUACUUGAUUUUCUUUGCGACAAGUAGGGUGGCAAAUACAGUUACCGGUAUGCUUUCCUGGAAUCGAAAUUAGCCCUCCAGGACAGUUGAAAGUUUUAAUCAACGGCAAUGUCUUAGGGAAGAUGCAGCGAGUGCAGUAAAAACAACGGUGACUCUUGGGGCGCAGAUGAUCUGGGAAGAAGUCCAGCAGACCCUGGCCAUUUAGCAGACAUUUCAGACGGGCAGGAGAUGUCUGGGUCCCUACGCUCCCAAGAGAGCUUGCACUUGCGUGUCAUUGCCCAUCGAUGAGGGUCCCCUUUGCUAGAAAACCACAGCUCUGGUUUCCUGUCUUGCCUGCCCUUCUCCUUUGCGUUCCUUCCUGCACCAAAGGGGCUGGCCCAGCAGCAGCUCAGUGCGCACUUACCAGCCACGCACAUCCAUUCACUGGCUCCCCACGUCGUCCUCAUCAGGAAAAACUCCCAGCGGGAUUCCUGAGCGUCACGCCCAGUGUCCUGACAGUUCCUCUGUGUGCCUCCAGAUCUCCCCGAGAUAGUGCUGGAUGACGUGCCUGCGGUGAGGGUGGCGGGACGGCCUCCAUUCGCUCCGCGGGUAAGUUGGGUUUUUAGUCUGAGCUCGCAGUGUUGCUCUAUUUCCCCUCCGUGGACAUUAAGUUAUGACAGCCUGAGCCUGCACGUUCCAGACCAUGUGGACGGUUCCGAGGGUUGGGACUCCAUGUCAGGCGCGUCUGUUGCCAACUCCCGAUGCCUGCUUCCGCAGGGCAAUGCGAUAACAACACCUGUCCCAGCCUGCAGAGGACAGAGCUCCUUCUCCAGAAGCAUCUUUUCCUCGAGGGAAAGAGUUCUGUCAUCUCCAACUGACAUGGCCUUGGACAUCCCGUCGUCUAGGACAAGUUCUUGCCUUUGUCCCCGAGGAGGGUUUGCUCUGCCUUUGCUGGGUUCUCUGGACUCCACCGCUGUUGUGCAUCGGGGUUUCUGCUGUCACCAAGUGAAGGAAAGACCUGUGCAAAUAGGUGGCCUUGUGGUCUGAUCCUCAUGGCACUUUCUCCUCUUGUCAUUGCAGGUGGCCUUCAUGGUGAACAAAACACGUAUGUAUGCUGGAAGCACUCAUCUGGGGGAGGGGCCCCUUAGAAGGUGAGGCAGGUGGCGCAGUCUUGCUGGGUUUAUUUAUUUGUUUUUAAUUGUUGUUUCCCCAGGGCAGGUUUUGUUUUUUUCCCCUUUCUUCCGGCCGUAGGGCAUGGUGACCCGGUUACACAUACAUGCACACGUUCUAUUUUCGCACAUUAUCAUGCUCCAUCAUAAGUGACUGGACAUAGCUCCCCAGGGCUACACAGCAGGCUCUCACUGCCCAUCCAUUCCAAAGGCAAGAGUUUGUAUCUAUUAACCCCAAGCUCCCCAGCCGCCCCAGUCCCUCCCCCUCCCCCUCCCCUCUCCCCCUUGGCAACCACAAGUCUCUUCUCCAAGUCCAUGAUUUUCUUUUCUGUGGAAAGGUUCAUCUGUGCCUCAUGUUAGACGCCAGAUACAUUCUUGCUGGUUUUGGUGUGGAGGGCCGGAGUGUUUGCAGUUUUGUCCUUGGAGUUAGGGUAGCAGGUUUGCUGAUGGAAAGUGACUUACAGGUAAAGUCACGGGGCCAGGUACUGUAGUCCCAGGAACAAGCCGUGUUACCAUUAGUCGAUGGAGGUUUGUGUGCAAGGGACUAGGGGGGUGUGUAUGGGAAACGGCUGGUAGGAUUCUGAGUGUGUCAAAAUCCUGAGCCUUCCUCUGACCCUCCUCCCAGAUGACCCCGAGUACCCGAGGCGGAAGGUGUCCGGCAUCAGUGCUCAGAAAGUUGUUCCACCUUCCACCAAGGUAAGGGCUUUUCACUUCUCUGAGGAAAAAGAAAAAGCAAAAAA